rnacentral:rRNA from 1 species
UACGUAGGGGGCGAGCGUUGUCCGGAUUUAUUGGGCGUAAAGAGCUCGUAGGCGGUUUGGUAAGUCGGGUGUGAAAUCUCCACGCUCAACGUGGAGGGGCCACUCGAUACUGCCAUGACUCGAGUCCGGUAGAGGAGUGUGGAAUUCCCGGUGUAGCGGUGAAAUGCGUAGAUAUCGAGAGGAACACCUGCGGCGAAGGCGGGUUGCUGGGCCGACACUGACGCUGAUGCGCGAAAGCCAGGGGAGCGAACGGG